rnacentral:rRNA from 1 species
AUGGAGGUGCAGGCCCAAGUACUUCAAAUCAUCAACAAGAAAUCCAAGAAAGAACAGCGAAGGAAAAACGUGACAAGAAAAGUGUUUUCUCGACUCGAGAUGUUAGAAGGUGCUAAAUCAAUAGGUGCCGGAGCUGCUACAAUUGCUUUAGCCGGAGCUGCUGUCGGUAUUGGAAACGUCCUCAGUUCUUUGAUUCAUUCCGUGGCGCGAAAUCCAUCAUUGGCUAAACAAUCAUUUGGUUAUGCCAUUUUGGGCUUUGCUCUCACCGAAGCUAUUGCAUUGUUUGCCCCAAUGAUGGCCUUUCUGAUCUCAUUCGUUUUCCGAUCGCAUAAAAAGUCAUGA